GAUAAACGCUAGCGGCAGGCUUAACACAUGCAAGUCGAGGGGCAGCAUAAAAGUAGCAAUACUUUGGUGGCGACCGGCGCACGGGUGCGUAACGCGUAUGCAACCUGCCCGUCACAGGGGGAUAAUCCAGAGAAAUCUGGUCUAAUACCCCAUAUGAUAAGAUACGGCAUCGUAUCUUGUUAAAAUUUUCGGAGGUGACGGAUGGGCAUGCGUAGCAUUAGUUAGUUGGUGAGGUAACGGCUCACCAAGGCGACGAUGACUAGGGGUUCUGAGAGGAAAGUCCCCCACACUGGUACUGAGACACGGACCAGACUCCUACGGGAGGCAGCAGUAGGGAAUAUUGGGCAAUGGGAGCAAUCCUGACCCAGCCAUGCCGCGUGCAGGAAGACGGCGCUAUGCGUUGUAAACUGCUUUUGUGCAGGGAUAAUUGAUGAUACGUGUAUCAUCUUGCAGGUACUGUACGAACAAGCAUCGGCUAACUCCGUGCCAGCAGCCGCGGUAAUACGGAGGAUGCAAGCGUUAUCCGGAUUUAUUGGGUUUAAAGGGUGCGCAGGCUGGAUGAUAAGUCUGCGGUGAAAGGUUAGAGCUUAACUCUGACAUUGCCGUGGAUACUGUUGUUCUAGAUGAUAGUUGACGUUGGCGGAAUAUGUCAAGUAGCGGUGAAAUGCUUAGAUAUGACAUAGAACACCAGUGGGGAAGCCGGCUAACGAAACUAUUCAUGACGCUCAUGCACGAAAGCGUGGGGAUCAAACAGGAUUAGAUACCCUGGUAGUCCACGCAGUAAACGAUGAUCACUCGUUGUCGGCGAUAGACCGUCGGUGGCUAAGCGAAAGUGAUAAGUGAUCCACCUGGGGAGUACGUUCGCAAGUAUGAAACUCAAAUGAAUUGACGGG
rnacentral:rRNA from 1 species